AGGUCAGGCAGAGCCUGCUGGCUGCCUCCAUGACAGAGCAAACCGCACGGAGUUGGCCGCAGGUGGCGAGGAGGUGGGGCUGAGGAAGGAGGAGGAAAACCGAAACAAGAGAGUAAUAUGAUUCAGCACAGGCCCUGCCCACACACGAGCUGCCCUGUGAGAAACAGAAACCCGGACACCGUGCAACGCAAGGCUUGAAGGCUGGAACAGCAGACGGGGCCGGGCAGGCUUUCUGCACACACGCGCGCGCGCACACGCACACACGGAGCAUGGAGAUCCCGGCGGAGGCGCACGGACGGGCCAGCGCUGAGCGUACAGCACGAGAAGCUCCCCAGUGACGCAGUAGGCUCCAUGCUGGGUGGAGAUCAAGACCUGAGCCAAGAUCAAGAGUUAGAUGCUAACAGCCACCCAGGCGCCCCUGCCCACAUUUUUAAAAAAAUUCAGAUAAGAGUUGCAUAAAAUAAAAUGAAUCAUUUUAAAGGGAACAUCUCAGUCGCAUUGAGUGUAUUCACAGUUGUGCAACCACCACCUCUACCAUUUCCAGAACAUUCCAUCGCCCCAAAAGGAAACCCCAUCCCCAUUGGCCGUCAGCCCCCCCUCCCCAGCCCCCACGAGCCCCCUUCCCAUCUGUGGACAGGCCUGUUCUGGACGUGUCACACACGUGGACUCACACAUCGUGGGGCCUUCUGUGUCUGGUUCCCUCCCGGAGCGUCGUGGGCUCGGGGUCAGCCCCCGGGGCAGCGUGUGUGGGCGCCUUCCUGUUCCUGGCUGAGUGACCUGCCCGUGUGUGGCAACACCUUCACUGUCUCCACCUUCUGGCUCCUGUGAAUCGUGCUGCUGGGAACACACGUGUGUGCAUCCUUAUUUGACCAUCUCUGCAGCUCUUCUGGGGACCUUCUUAGGACUGGAGCUUCAGGGCCAGCGGGCUCCCUCUGCAGCUCUGCUGUCCCUCCACGGCCCAGAGCAGGCCUCGUGACUGGCCCCGCGCGCGCCUGGCGUCCCAGCAGCACAAUCACGCCGUGUGCAGGCAUGCAUGCGUCUGCGUCUGACGGAUAUCUGCACGCCCUCAGGUGACAGGCACUGCGGAUCCUGCAUGACGGCCAUGAGACUCGGGCGCGAGACCAGAGGGACGCCCGAAACCCAAACAUUGAGGGAACUGAGUUGCAAAAAAUCAAAAUGAACGCAGAAAAUCCAUGAUGAAUGAAAUGCUGACAUUUAAAAUCAAAACAGGACUGGUAACCAGGCCGUGAGAACCAGGCUGGAGCCUGAACCAUGAGGAAAACCUGGGUGCCCGACCCUGUCCGCGCUUCAUUCACGAUUUGAAAUUUGGUUCAUCGUGGGCUUUCGCGUUGACUUUGAAUUAUUAAUGGAAAUAACAAAUAGUGUUCUGUUACAAUGUUCUACUUUCACAUAAAAUCAAAUUCAAACAAA